rnacentral:misc_RNA from 1 species
AACUUUUGGCAACGGAUCACUUGGCUCUCGCAUCGAUGAAGAAAGCAGCGAAAUGCGAUAAGUAAUGUGAAUUGCAGAAUUCAGUGAAUCAUCGAAUCUUUGAACGCAUCUUGCGCUCCUUGGUAUUCCGAGGAGCAUGCCUGUUUGAGUGUCAUUCAACUCCUCUACCACAUUCAUUUCUUGAUUGUGGCUUGGAUGGUGGGGGUUUGUUUGCAGGCUUCUUCUGUGAAAACAGAAAGGGUCGGCUCCCCUGAAAUGUAUCAGUGGUAUCUGAGGCUAUUGCUAUAGGUGUGAUAAUUAUCUAUGCCCUUGGUAUGCCGCAUGGAACUGCUUCCAACAGAGAUGAUCUUUUUGAUGAAUUUGACCUCAAAUCAGGUAGGACUACCCGCUGAACUUAAGCAUAUCAAUAAGCGGAGGCU